GGGACAACUAACCACCCUGGGAAGAUGACACUGUGGACAGUGGGACUCCAUCCGUAGUGCCCCUUGCACAUUGGCACUGAGUUGCAGUGGGGUUCCUGACAUUAAGGUUGAGGAUUUGGCCUAAGUAAUUGGAGAUGAGGAUUUCCAUAUGCAUAAAAAAGAAAGAAAGAAGGAAGGCAAGAAAGAAAG
rnacentral:lncRNA from 1 species